rnacentral:lncRNA from 1 species
UUGAACGAUGUCUUCACAACCCCUGCAGCCUAGUGAUCAAGAAAAUGACAUGCGCGUGCCGAGGACGGAAUCUCACACAGCAAAACAGAGUGCCGGGGGAAUUCCAGUGAACCCCAUCAACGGCCGUUGGCACGCGAGCAACCACCCCAACAUCCUCCGCCGCGGCCCAUCCUCUCCUUGCGUGACGCCCAUCAUUCGGUCCAAUAACCGGAGGCUCAAUCUAGAAUGGGGAAAGAAAAC